rnacentral:lncRNA from 1 species
UUAAAUCUGCCUCCUUGGAUCUCUCUCUGCUUCUAGACGUGUUUUUGAGUGUUUAGAGUGGUUGGAUGUGAAUGGGAUAAGAAAAAAUGAAGUCUAGUGGCUUUUUAUAAGUGACAGAAAAGUGGAUCUUCGCUUAGCGACGGAACUGUUCGCUUAGCGACGCAGGUUUCUUCACUCUGAAGUACUCUUAAACCGCCACAGCUUCGCUGGCUCUCGCUACAGCUCGCUCAGCGACCAUCUCUCGCUAUCCCUCGCUAUCUCUCGCUACUGACUUGGCUCGCUAUCCCUCGCUAUCUCUCGCUUAGCGACGGCACUGAUUUUUCUGCAUUUUCUGAUAGCAUGCGUCCUUUUGUCUGUCGCUUUGACGUCGCUUAGCCAACAACUCAUACUCAAAAUUUUGAUCUCUUCAUUCCAAAUUCCAUUAAAUCCAAAAUUUCCUACAAAAAGUGUUGGAAUUAGAUAGAAAUAGCAAAAAUAACUAAUUUUCUCAUUAAAACUAAUAUUUACGAUUAGUUGGUUUUUUAUAUGAAAUUACUUUUAAAAUAAGUCGAUAAGUGCUUAAAAUAUAUAUGUAAAAUUACCAAUUUUUGGCACUUAUCA